GACGACCGGCGCACGGGUGCGUAACGCGUAUACAACCUACCUUUUAGCGGGGAAUAGCCCAGGGAAACUUGGAUUAAUGCCCCAUAGUAUAUAGACUUCUCCUGAAGUUUAUAUUAAACAUUUAUGGCUAUUAGAUGGGUAUGCGUCCUAUUAGUUAGUUGGUAAGGUAACGGCUUACCAAGGCAGCGAUAGGUAGGGGUCCUGAGAGGGAGAUCCCCCACACUGGUACUGAGACACGGACCAGACUCCUACGGGAGGCAGCAGUGAGGAAUAUUGGACAAUGGGCGAGAGCCGGAUCCAGCCAUGCCGCGUGCAGGAAGACUGCCCUAUGGGUUGUAAACUGCUUUUACAGAGGAAGAACCACCCCCACGUGUGGGGGUUUGACGGUACUCUGCGAAUAAGGAUCGGCUAACUCCGUGCCAGCAGCCGCGGUAAUACGGAGGAUCCAAGCGUUAUCCGGAAUCAUUGGGUUUAAAGGGUCCGUAGGCGGGCAGUUAAGUCAGUGGUGAAAGUCUUCCGCUCAACGGGAGAACUGCCAUUGAUACUGAUUGUCUUGAGUUAUUAUGAAGUGGUUAGAAUGAGUAGUGUAGCGGUGAAAUGCAUAGAUAUUACUCAGAAUACCGAUUGCGAAGGCAGAUCACUAAUAAUAUACUGACGCUGAUG
rnacentral:rRNA from 1 species